AGAUGUGAGGGUGAUCUGGCUGCAACAUCUGUCACCCAUUGAUUGCCAGGGUUGACUCGGCUGAUCUGGCUGGCUAGGCGGGUGUCCCCUUCCUCCCUCACCACUCCAUGUGUGUCCCUCCAGAAGCUGUACACUCAGUAGAAAAGGACGACCUUCUGCGAAGAGAGGAGGACCGGUCUUUGGUCAAGGGUAUAUGAGUAGCUGCACUCCCCUGCUUGAACCUCCAAACAAGUUCUCAAGAAACAUAUUACUUUAUAUGUUAACUUUUAAAAUAAAUUAUUAAAAUUUGAAGAAAAGACAAAUAGUUUUAAGAGUAGUUA
rnacentral:snRNA from 1 species